rnacentral:rRNA from 1 species
GUCGAACGCUGGCGGCGUGCUUAACACAUGCGAGUCGAACGGAAAGGCCCUGCUUUUGUGGGGUGCUCGAGUGGCGAACGGGUGAGUAACACGUGAGUAACCUGCCCUUGACUUUGGGAUAACUUCAGGAAACUGGGGCUAAUACCGGAUAGGAGCUCCUGCUGCAUGGUGGGGGUUGGAAAGUUUCGGCGGUUGGGGAUGGACUCGCGGCUUAUCAGCUUGUUGGUGGGGUAGUGGCUUACCAAGGCUUUGACGGGUAGCCGGCCUGAGAGGGUGACCGGCCACAUUGGGACUGAGAUACGGCCCAGACUCCUACGGGAGGCAGCAGUGGGGAAUAUUGCACAAUGGGCGGAAGCCUGAUGCAGCAACGCCGCGUGCGGGAUGACGGCCUUCGGGUUGUAAACCGCUUUCGCCUGUGACGAAGCGUGAGUGACGGUAAUGGGUAAAGAAGCACCGGCUAACUACGUG